UACGGAGGGAGCUAGCGUUGUUCGGAAUUACUGGGCGUAAAGCGCACGUAGGCGGCCACACAAGUCAGGGGUGAAAGCCCGGGGCUCAACCCCGGAACUGCCUUUGAAACUGGGUGGCUAGAAUCUUGGAGAGGCGAGUGGAAUUCCGAGUGUAGAGGUGAAAUUCGUAGAUAUUCGGAAGAACACCAGUGGUGAAGGCGACUCGCUGGACAAGUAUUGACGCUGAGGUGCGAAAGCGUGGGGAGCAAACAGG
rnacentral:rRNA from 1 species